rnacentral:misc_RNA from 1 species
GCAAACUUGGUCAUUUAGAGGAAGUAAAAGUCGUAACAAGGUUUCCGUAGGUGAACCUGCGGAAGGAUCAUUAAAAAUUUAAUUAUCCUACUUAAACUACAUGGAUAAUAAAAUCCAUAUUCAUUUCAUGUGCAUCUAUCGAUCGUAUACUUUGACAGAUUUUUUUCCUUCUUUCUUUCUUGAUCUUCAUUUCAGAAAGAUGGAGAGAAUUCGAAUCUUCGGGGGUCUGUCAAAGUUUUCCUUUUUUCUUCUCCUGAAUCCUUUAAAUUCCGAAAACCUCCCAUGUGAUAAUAAAAUCCAAUACAACUUUCAACAACGGAUCUCUUGGCUCUCGCAUCGAUGAAGAACGCAGC